rnacentral:rRNA from 1 species
UCCUACGGGAGGCAGCAGUGGGGAAUAUUGGACAAUGGGGGGAACCCUGAUCCAGCCAUGCCGCGUGUGUGAAGAAGGCCUUCGGGUUGUAAAGCACUUUCAGCGAGGAGGAAGGGUUCAGUGUUAAUAGCACUGUGCAUUGACGUUACUCGCAGAAGAAGCACCGGCUAACUCCGUGCCAGCAGCCGCGGUAAUACGGAGGGUGCAAGCGUUAAUCGGAAUUACUGGGCGUAAAGCGCACGCAGGCGGUUUGUUAAGUCAGAUGUGAAAUCCCCGAGCUUAACUUGGGAACUGCAUUUGAAACUGGCAAGCUAGAGUCUUGUAGAGGGGGGUAGAAUUCCAGGUGUAGCGGUGAAAUGCGUAGAGAUCUGGAGGAAUACCGAUGGCGAAGGCAGCCAUCUGGCCUAAUACUGACACUGAGGUACGAAAGCAUGGGGAGCAAACAGGAUUAGAUACCCUGGUAGUCC